rnacentral:rRNA from 1 species
UACGAGGGGGGCAAGCGUUGUUCGGAAUUAUUGGGCGUAAAGAGCUCGUAGGCGGUUCGUCGCGUCGGCUGUGAAAUCCCGAGGCUCAACCUCGGGUCUGCAGUCGAUACGGGCGGACUGGAGUUCGGCAGGGGAGACUGGAAUUCCUGGUGUAGCGGUGAAAUGCGCAGAUAUCAGGAGGAACACCGGUGGCGAAGGCGGGUCUCUGGGCCGAUACUGACGCUGAGGAGCGAAAGCGUGGGGAGCGAACAGG